UACGGUGGGAGCAAGCGUUGUUCGGAUUUACUGGGCGUAAAGGGCGCGUAGGCGGCCAGCGCAAGUCAGUUGUGAAAUCUCCGGGCUUAACUCGGAAAGGUCAACUGAUACUGCGCGGCUAGAGUGCAGAAGGGGCAACUGGAAUUCUCGGUGUAGCGGUGAAAUGCGUAGAUAUCGAGAGGAACACCUGCGGCGAAGGCGGGUUGCUGGGCUGACACUGACGCUGAUGCGCGAAAGCGUGGGGAGCAAACAGG
rnacentral:rRNA from 1 species